AGAGUUUGAUUCUGGCUCAGAACGAACGCUGGCAGCGUGGAUUAGGCAUGCAAGUCGAACGAGAAGCCCUGGUCUCAAUCUUCGGAGAGAAACCAGGGUGGGCAGUGGCGGAAGGGUGAGUAACGCGUGGGCAAUUUGCCUCCGGAUUGGGGACAACUCCGCGAAAGCGGGGCUAAUACCGAAUAUGGUCUCCUGUCGCAUGACGGGAAGAUUAAAGAUGGGGAUUCUUCGGAACCUGUCGUCUGGAGAGGAGCCCGCGUACGAUCAGCUUGUUGGUGAGGUAACGGCUCACCAAGGCUUUGACCGUUAGCCGGCCUGAGAGGGUGAUCGGCCACACUGGGACUGAGACACUGCCCAGACUCCUACGGGAGGCUGCAGUCGAGGAUCAUUCGCAAUGCGCGAAAGCGUGACGAUGCGACGCUGCGUGUAGGAUGACGGCCUUCGGGUUGUAAACUACUGUCAUGAGGGAAAAACCAGCGAUGGGACAAUACCCCAUCGCUCUGAUGGUACCUCAAGAGGAAGCCACGGCUAACUCUGUGCCAGCAGCCGCGGUAAUACAGAGGUGGCUAGCGUUGUUCGGAUUUACUGGGCGUAAAGCGUGCGUAGGCGGUUCCGUGUGUCGGGUGUGAAAUCCCACGGCUUACCCGUGGAAUGGCACCCGAAACUGCGGGGCUAGAGUGCAGGAGGGGAGAGCGGAAUUCUUAGUGUAGCGGUGAAAUGCGUUGAUAUUAAGAAGAACACCGGCGGCGAAGGCGGCUCUCUGGAAUGUAACUGACGCUGAGGCACGAAAGUUGGGGGAGCAAACAGGAUUAGAUACCCUGGUAGUCCCAACCGUAAACGGUGUGAACUUGGUGUAGGGGGUAUUGACCCCCCCUGUGCCGGAGCUAACGCGUUAAGUUCACCGCCUGGGGAGUACGGCCGCAAGGCUAAAACUCAAAGAAAUUGACGGGGGCCCGCACAAGCGGAGGAGCAUGUGGCUUAAUUCGAUGCAACGCGAAGAACCUUACCUGGGCUUGACAUGGGGACCCUUCGGGGUGGUAGCGAAAGUUACCUUUACCAUCACAGGUGCUGCAUGGCUGUCGUCAGUUCGUGCCGUGAGGUGUUUGGUUAAGUCCAGCAACGAACGCAACCCUUGUGACUAGUUACCAGCGUCGGUGAUGAGCCGGCAGGCACUCUAGUCAGACUGCCCGUACAAGCGGGAGGAAGGUGGGGAUGACGUCAAGUCAGUAUGGCCCUUACGCCCAGGGCUGCACACGUGCUACAAUGGUCAGUACAGAAGGAUGCAAAACCGCAAGGUCGAGCAAAUCCCCAAAGCUGGCCCCAGUUCGGAUUGGAGUCUGCAACUCGACUCCAUGAAGUCGGAUUCGCUAGUAACGGCGUAUCAGCUACGACGCCGUGAAUACGUUCCCGGGCCUUGUACACACCGCCCGUCACAUCAUGAAAGCCGUCUGCACCCGAAGUCGCUGAGCCAACCCGCAAGGGAGGCAAGUGCCGAAGGUGUGGGUGGUGAUUGGGAUGAACC
rnacentral:rRNA from 1 species